CAGCACUUUUUUAAUCACACUGCUUCUUGUAGCUUUUUUUGAGAAGCAAGGGGCAUCACACCAAAUCAUAGCCCAGUUUUACAGGACAAGCAAGCCCUUGGCCUGAUUUCAUCUGGAAAAUGUUACAUAUAGAGCCGUGGCUUCCAAACCUGGGCAUGGGGAUCUGAACUCUGUGUUUACAGAAAGCCCCUUGUUUGUUUGUUUUUUUGUACUGGGAAUCAAACUCAGGGCCUCACUCUUGCCAGGCAGGCGUGGUGCCCCUGACCUACAUUCUCAGCUCUGCCCCUUGUGUUAAGAACCAGUAAAACACUAAAGUAAAGCACAAAGAGGCGCGUAAGGGAUGGAGACUUUGUGUUGAGUCCAGCAGUGCUGAGAGGAUGUGACACCCAACGAUAAUAAGAUGUGCUGUGUUCCCUCUAUAUAUCACAUACGAAGGAACAGAAGAGCUGGAAGUGCAGAAGUGGGUUGUCGGGGUCAAAUUGCUUCCCAAGUCUAAACACCUGUGGAUAAUGAUGUUCAGGUUUCCAGCUGGUCAUUGGACAUUGAGUCUGGGUCUUAAGGAUGAAUUGAGGGCAAGGCUGAUGUAAGUUGGAGAGUGUGGCCUGCUUAGGGUAGAGUGUCCAUUUGAUUGGCUUUGGGAUCCAGCCUAAGGAUUGGGAGAGCACACUUCUAGCUAUGUCUGGGUGGGUCAUGUCUGGCCCCUUACCCCUUCCUCUUUGGCACCAUUCCCCUCCUCUGCUUCCCAGCUGCCAUGCCGAAGGAGCUUUUCGCCACUAUGCCCUUCCACCAAGAUCUUUCUACCUUGGAGCCAAUUGACCAUGGACUGAAUCCUUUUAAAAUUCUCAGCAAGUCCUGGCAAAUUUAUGUUGAAAGUGGAUUCCGAAGCCAUGCACUACUCCCACUUGAUGCAAGCCACUGUCCUCUCUCACCAGUCUCCUGCCAGCCCCAUGGCUUCUGUCCUUGCUGCUUUCCACUCAGCUCUCUGUGGAGUGGAGCGGGGAUCACUGUGAAAUGCUGACCUCAGUCUGAUAGCCUCAGGUGACCGGCAGGAUGAACCCAAGCUUCUGAAGCCCUACCAGACCUUUUUGGUCCCUGCCUACCUCACCGACCAUGCUGAAGCCCCUUCCCCCUUCAUCUUCUGAUUCCCAAACCCAUCAAACCCACGCCACCCUCAGGCCUUGGGCUUUGCUGUUGCCUCUGCCUAAUGUGCUGUUCUCCAUGACCUGGCAUGACCAUUUUCCUCUCUCUCGGCCCGGGCUGGAUUACCACGUCCUUGAAAAGCCCGCCCUAGAGUCACUCAGACCCUCUUUAGUGCAUGGUCAUGUAAAAAUGUAUCCAAAAAGAAUUUGUCCUGAUCUUUCUCUUUCUGUUGAUAUUUGGUUUUCCCGCCAGAAUAAAAGCUUCAAGAGAGCAAGAUUCUUGUCUG
rnacentral:lncRNA from 1 species